AGCGAACGCUAGCGGCGAGCUUAACACAUGCAAGUCGAGCGGAGGGUUUCGGCCCUCAGCGGCGGACGGGUGAGUAACGCGUAGGUUACGUGCCCUUUGGUGGGGAAUAACUUAGGGAAACCUGAGCUAAUACUGCAUAUGCCCUUCGGGUGAAGUCUUCGGACGCCAGAGGAUCGGCCUGCGGCCCAUUAUUUAAUCCUUGUUGGUGGGGUAACGGCCUACCAAGGGUACGAUGGGUAGCUGGUCUGAGAGGAUGAUCAGCCACACUGGGACUGAGACACGGCCCAGACUCCUACGGGAGGCAGCAGUGGGGAAUAUUGGACAAUGGGGAAAACCCUGAUCCAGCUACGCCGCGUGGGUGAUGAA
rnacentral:rRNA from 1 species